rnacentral:rRNA from 1 species
AACCCUUAUUAAUAAUACCUUAUAUAUCCAUCUUAAAACAAUCAUAUUAUCAAUUUUACUGAAAAGACAAUUCAUUAUAUAAAUGCAGUUAAAUUAACGUACCUUUUGCAUCAUGGUAUAACUAGUGCCACACUCUAAGUACUCCCCGAAGGCUCACCGAGCUGAGAUCUCGCUAAUCUAGAUACCCAUACUACAAUGUUACAAUAUUGUGAUAAGACAAGCUCUCAGAGGCUACAUACCCCCGCGGAAGCCGAUAGCUGGUUGCGUCCAUAAUCGAUCUUAGUCGAGAAAGCAGAACGCUAUAAAAACAUUAAAGGAAAAGCUUUAAUGUAAAAUCUAUAUAUUACCGCCAUACAUCUACUGUAAGCUUAACACCGGCUACACCCCGUUCUUGGGGCAUAUGAACCAAAUUUUAAUCGUACGACGUUGAACCAUAGACGCAACUUUCAUAACUCACGAAACUUAUACAAUGUUAUAACUAGUAUACAAUAACCAACUACACUAUAAUAACACACCCAUCAUAAUAUUCCCCCCAUCACAUCCACAUAAGGAACUCGGCAAACCUUUAUUCAGCCUGUUUAACAAAAACACCGCCUAUUGAAAAUAUAAUAGGUCCAUCCUGCCCAGUGAUUUUUAUUCAACGGCCGCGGUAUCCUGACCGUGCAAAGGUAGCAUAAUCAUUUGCUUUUUAAUUGAAGGCUAGUAUGAAAGGACACACAAGAAUAAAGCUGUCUCAUGUGGAUUCAUUAUAAACUGAUAAUCAGGUGAAGAAGCCUGAACAAAUAUAAAGGACAAGAAGACCCUAUAGAGCUUUACUGGUCAAAGUUAGUACACUUCAAACCAGUUUGGUUGGGACAACCAAAAGACAUUUAAACCUCUUUUUGACAACACUCUAUUCAAACCCAGUAAUGUAUUAAAAAUAGCUACCUUAGGGAUAACAGGCUAAUCCUAUUAGAGAGACCACAUUGACAAUAGGGAUUGGCACCUCGAUGUUGGCUUAGUGUAACUAUUAGGCGCAGCCGCCUAAAAAAGUUGGUUUGUUCAACCAUUAAAUCACUACAUGAGCUGAGUUCAGACCGGCGUGAGCCAGGUUAGAUUCUAUCCUUAUUCCACUAUUUAAACCAUAGUACGAAAGGACCUGGUUUUAUAGAUAAAAUCUAUAUAAGAAAAUAAAAACCU